CAGGCACUGAUUAUUAGUAAUAUCAUAUAUUCAUAUACAAAAAGGUGGCAACAAAUAUCUUUAUGAUACAUUUUACGGUAGCCAUUAGUUGCACUCAUCCUCCUCAACCUGAUAUAUAUGAGCCUGAGGCAUCCUAGGUAAUUUUGCCCACCAUCUACCUUUAUGUUAUAAUUUAAGGUUCUGUUUAUUUUUUUUUAACUGCUCUAGCUGACACAAUGGCAUGGAUGAUAAUGCAUGUGUUCUAUUUCAAGGUUCCCAAAUAAGGAAAAGAAAGCUCAUAUUCACAGAGAAUGGGUGAGGGCCUGCCGCAGGGAAGUUGUCCAACCAGGGGAUCGAUCUCUUGUGUGCAGUGAACAUUUCCUGGAAUCGGACCUGGACAAGAUCGACCGGACAGACCACCCGUCUAAGAGAAAAUGCUAUCCCUUCAGUGUUUGACUUGCCAGAGCAUCUCAUUCCGAAGAAAGUGCCCAUUCGAGUAAAAAAGAAUUCAAGCAGAAAGGUUGGCGAGGAUGAUGACAGCCAACUGGAACAUCUUCCAGAGGAGCCACCACAGACUAGUGCUGGCGUUUCUGUG